GGCCCCUCUAUGCAGUCCUCCCAUCCCUGUCGUUUGCCCGGCGUCCCGGAUUUCUCAUUCUCAAAUUCUGAAUUGCGUACCUUCCCCCUUCGAAGGAGACCUGAUGGGCUAGCUGCGUUUCGCAAGCGGAAUUGAGGGAGAACUGUAGGAACACCUUGGGAAGCCUUUACUGGUUGUCCUCUUAAGAAGAGCUGGAUAAUGUACUGAGAAUGCCUAUCCUUCCUUGGUCCUGGAGGGCAGACAGCAGCUACAGCAGGACUGGUGGAACCAGCUUCCUGGCAGGAAUUACCCUCCCCCAAGGUUAGGGACCCAGGAAGAUGCCCUGUUCAGCAUAGACUUUAAAGAGAGUCAAACUUUACGGAAGAGGAUUAUAACGGAACAUUUCUGAAUAAAGUGAUGAUCAGCCACAAUGAUAUUAGUACAA